rnacentral:rRNA from 1 species
UACGGAGGGUGCGAGCGUUGUCCGGAAUCACUGGGCGUAAAGGGCGCGUAGGCGGCCUGAUAAGUAGGGGGUGAAAUCCUGCGGCUUAACCGCAGGGCUGCCUUCUAAACUGUCGGGCUUGAGCACAGUAGAGGCAGGUGGAAUUCCCGGUGUAGCGGUGGAAUGCGUAGAGAUCGGGAAGAACAUCAGUGGCGAAGGCGGCCUGCUGGACAAAGACUGACGCUCAGGUGCGAAAGCGUGGGGAGCAAACAGG